CUGGCCCUGAAUCAAGGCCGGCAGCUUCCGGACACUGUUGGUUUCAUCAAGCAGGAGCCUAAAGAGUUGUCUUUCUAUGGUCUGUUGACCAUUUCGGAACUUACGCAGUGAAAUGGUCAAUUCAUUAGAAAGAAAAAGCU
ensembl:snoRNA